rnacentral:lncRNA from 1 species
GUCAAGUAUUUAAUUAAUUAUUUUUUGAGACAGGGCCUUGAUCUGUCACGCAGGCUGGAGUGCAGUGGCGCAAUCAUGGCUCAUUGCAGUCUUGAACUUCUGGGCUGAAGCGAUCCUUUCACCUCAGCCUCCCGGGUAACUGGGACUAUAGGCACGUACCACUCUACCUGGCUAAUUUUUUGAUUUUUGGUAGAGACGGGGUCUCCCUAAGUUGCCCAGGCUUGUCUUGAACUCCUGGGCUCAAGCGAUCCUCCUGCCUCAGCCUCCCAAAGUGCUGGGAUUACAGGUGUGAGCUACUGCGCCUGAUCUGUUAAUUUAUUUUUUGAGACAGGGCCUUGAUCUGUCACCCAGGCUGGAGUGCGGUGGCACGAUCACGGCUCAUUGCAGUCUUGAACUUCUGGGCUGAAGCGAUCCUUUCACCUCUGCCUCCCGGGUAGCUGGGACUACAGGCACGCACCACUAUACCUGGCUAAUUUUUUUAUUUUUGGUAGAGACGGGGGUCUCCCUAAGUUGCCCAGGCUGGUCUUGAACUCCUGGGCUCAAGCGAUCCUCCCACCUUGGCCUCCC